rnacentral:lncRNA from 1 species
UGGGUUGUAGCUACCAUCAUGGCAUCAUCACCGGCCAGCUGUUUCUUCUCUGUUGCUUUACUUGCACGGUUGCAACACCAAUCCCUUCAGCUUUCACUUUCGGCCCCUAUGACGCUCUCCUACUCCAAGCAAGAGGUCGGUCAAGGUUCGUGCCCGUUAAAAGCAGACAGGAAGGAAGAAGGCUCCGCCUCAUCAAGGUAAGCUCCACUCCCUUCAACUCUUCGUCCUCUUUUCCCCACUGGGAUUUCUGCCUUCUUCACCUCUUCAUCCUCUUCUCUCUGUUGGGAUUUCUUCGUCUUUAUUCAGUCAGGGAGGUACACCUGAGCCAUGGUGCCGUGGAGGCUGGAGGCGCGACUGGCGGAGACGGUGCGGGUUCCUUGGCUGGCUCUUCUUCUGCAUCACCGUCGCCAGCGAUGUCGCGCAUGCGCUCAGAAGCAGCAAUCUCCCCAUCUAAGGCCGGCAGCCAAGACCGACUCUGCGCCUAUAAAGUGGCAGUUCAUUGGGCGUGCAGGAAGAAAAUUGAUUUACAGCAGUGUAACCAGUCAGUGAGCUCAUCCAUGAGAGAAUGAAUUCGAUGUAAAGGUGAAAUAUUCAUAUAGAUUAGAUGUAAAAAUCUUGUGUCAAACAGAGAAAUAAACAAAGGUAGCAUAGAUAGCGCUGGUGCAACUUAGUAACUAACAAUAAAGCUGGUCCAUCGGACGAACUACGGACAAAAUUCCAAUAAAUAGCUUUUGCGAGGUGGAGCGGUAUGUACGGAUUCUACUGGUCAUCAGGCAGGAGGUUCCGACUAUCUGCACUCGAGUGCUAUCAC